UGAGGAAUAUUGGUCAAUGGACGAGAGUCUGAACCAGCCAAGUAGCGUGCAGGAUGACGGCCCUAUGGGUUGUAAACUGCUUUUGUUUGGGAAUAAACGACAUUACGUGUAAUGUUUUGCAUGUACCAUUCGAAUAAGGACCGGCUAAUUCCGUGCCAGCAGCCGCGGUAAUACGGAAGGUCCAGGCGUUAUCCGGAUUUAUUGGGUUUAAAGGGAGUGUAGGCGGUUGGUUAAGCGUGUUGUGAAAUGUAGAUGCUCAACAUCUGACUUGCAGCGCGAACUGGCUGACUUGAGUACACACAACGUAGGCGGAAUUCAUGGUGUAGCGGUGAAAUGCUUAGAUAUCAUGAAGAACUCCGAUUGCGAAGGCAGCUUACGGGAGUGUUACUGACGCUUAAGCUCGAAGGUGCGGGUAUCGAACAGG
rnacentral:rRNA from 1 species